rnacentral:rRNA from 1 species
UACGUAGGGCGCAAGCGUUAUCCGGAAUUAUUGGGCGUAAAGAGCUCGUAGGCGGUUUGUCGCGUCUGCCGUGAAAAUCCGAGGCUCAACCUCGGACUUGCGGUGGGUACGGGCAGACUAGAGUGUGGUAGGGGAGACUGGAAUUCCAGGUGUAGCGGUGAAAUGCGUAGAUAUCUGGAGGAACACCGGUGGCGAAGGCGGCAUUCUGGACCGAUAUUGACGCUGAGGAGCGAAAGCCAGGGGAGCAAAGCGGG